rnacentral:rRNA from 1 species
CAGUAGCCACGGUAAUACGGAGGGGGCUAGCGUUGUUCGGAAUUACUGGGCGUAAAGCGCACGUAGGCGGCUUGGUAAGUUAGAGGUGAAAGCCUGGAGCUCAACUCCAGAAUUGCCUUUAAGACUGCCGAGCUAGCAGGUGAGAGAGGUAAGUGGAAUUCCGAGUGUAGAGGUGAAAUUCGUAGAUAUUCGGAGGAACACCAGUGGCGAAGGCGGCUCACUGGUCCAUUACUGACGCUGAGGUGCGAAAGCGUGGGGAGCAAACAGGAUUAGAUACCCCUGUAGUCCCUGUCUCUUAUAC